AAUUUUAAGGUCAAGCUACAAAGGGCGCAUGGUGAAUGCCUUGGCACUAGGAGCCGAAGAAGGACGCGAUAAGCUGCGAUAAGCCUUGGGUAGCCGCAAAUAGGCUGAGAUCCAGGGAUUUCCGAAUGAGGAAACUCACAUGGGUAACCCCAUGUAUCAUGCACUGAAUACAUAGGUGUAUGAGGGUAAACCCGGGGAACUGAAACAUCUAAGUACCCGGAGGAAGAGAAAGAAAAAUCGAUUUCCUAAGUAGCGGCGAGCGAACGGGAAAGAGCCCAAACCAGAAACUUGUUUCUGGGGUUGUGGAUAGAUCAUAAAAGAAGAGGUAUCUUAAUCGAAGAGGGCUGGAACGCCCUACCAUAGAAGGUAAUAGUCCUGUAGAUAAAAAGAGAAAACUUCGAGAUCUAAUCCAGAGUACCACGAGACACGUGAAACCUUGUGGGAAGCAGGGAGGACCACCUCCCAAGGCUAAAUACUACCUAGUGACCGAUAGUGAAGCAGUACCGUGAGGGAAAGGUGAAAAGAACCCCGGAAGGGGAGUGAAAUAGAACCUGAAACCGUGUGCCUACAACCGAUCGGAGCACGUUAAAGUGUGACGAUGUGCUUUUUGUAGAACGAGCCAGCGAGUUACGCUAUGUAGCAAGGUUAAGUACUUAAGGUAUGGAGCCGAAGGGAAACCGAGUCUGAAAAGGGCGAAAAGUUGCAUGGUGUAGACCCGAAACCGGGUGACCUAUCCAUGGCCAGGUUGAAGCGAGAGUAAAAUCUCGUGGAGGACCGAACCACGUUGGUGUUGAAAAACCAUGGGAUGAGCUGUGGAUAGCGGAGAAAUUCCAAUCGAACUCGGAGAUAGCUGGUUCUCCUCGAAAUAGCUUUAGGGCUAGCGUCGUGUAAUUGAGUAAUGGAGGUAGAGCACUGAAUGGGCUAGGGGCUAUAGUAGUUACCGAACCCUAUCAAACUCCGAAUGCCAUAUACUUGUAUCACGGCAGUCAGACUGCGAAUGAUAAGAUCCGUAGUCAAAAGGGAAACAGCCCAGACCAUCAGCUAAGGUCCCAAAGUGUAAGUUAAGUGGAAAAGGAUGUGGGAUUUCUAAGACAACUAGGAUGUUGGCUUAGAAGCAGCCACUCAUUUAAAGAGUGCGUAAUAGCUCACUAGUCAAGAGAUCCUGCGCCGAAGAUGUCCGGGGCUCAAACUUACCACCGAAGCUAUGGGUGUACACUAUGUGUACGCGGUAGAGGAGCUUUCUGUAUGGGUUGAAGUCGUACCGUAAGGAGCGGUGGACUGUACAGAAGUGAGAAUGCUGGCAUAAGUAGCGAGAAAUAAGUGAGAAUCUUAUUGGCCGAAAACCUAAGGUUUCCUGAGGAAGGUUCGUCCGCUCAGGGUUAGUCGGGACCUAAGCCGAGGCCGAAAGGCGUAGGUGAUGGACAAUCGGUUGAUAUUCCGAUACCACCUAUUUACGUUUGAGAAAUGGGGUGACGCAGUAGGAUAAGAUGUGCGCACUAUUGGAUGUGCGUCUAAGCACUUAGGCAUGCUUGAUAGGCAAAUCCGUCGAGCUAAGCUGAGGUGUGAUGGGGAGCCAUUUAUGGCGAAGUAUCUGAUUCCACACUGCCAAGAAAAGCCUCUAUCGAGUGAAUAGGUGCCCGUACCGCAAACCGACACAGGUAGGUGAGGAGAGAAUCCUAAGGCCAUCGGAAGAAUUGCUGUUAAGGAACUCGGCAAAUUGACCCCGUAACUUCGGGAGAAGGGGUGCCUACGAAAGUAGGCCGCAGAGAAUAGGCCCAAGCAACUGUUUAGCAAAAACACAGGUCUCUGCUAAAGCGAAAGCUGAUGUAUAGGGGCUGACGCCUGCCCGGUGCUGGAAGGUUAAGGGGAACACUUAGCGUAAGCGAAGGUGUGAACUUAAGCCCCAGUAAACGGCGGCCGUAACUAUAACGGUCCUAAGGUAGCGAAAUUCCUUGUCGGGUAAGUUCCGACCCGCACGAAUGGCGUAAUGAUUUGGGCACUGUCUCAACAGCAAAUCCGGCGAAAUUGUAGUGCAAGUGAAGAUGCUUGCUACCCGCGAUUGGACGGAAAGACCCCGUAGAGCUUUACUGUAGCUUAGCAUUGAAUCUCGGUAUUGUCUGUACAGGAUAGGUGGGAGACUUGGAA
rnacentral:rRNA from 1 species